rnacentral:tRNA from 1 species
AUGACCGCCCGGCUAGCUCAGUCGGUAGAGCAUGAGACUCUUAAUCUCAGGGUCGUGGGUUCGAGCCCCACGUUGGGCGUGAAGGUUUUGUCAGACAGAUUAGUCUUGCAACUUGGAAGAAAGUCAAGUAAAUUAAGUAAGAAAACAUGGAAGUGACUCCGUAUACCUUGCAAAUCGGGAAUUGUUGGUCAGGCAAACACAAAACGCUCCACCACCCAACUGGCUUCAGGAUAUAUCAGGAUCCCCUUGGUCUUGUCUCAUAAAAAAAGGGGCCGAGCUUCGUAGUUCAUGCCUGUAAUCCCCUCACUUUGACCCCAGGAGUUUGAGACCAGCCUAGGCAACAUGGUGAGACCCCAGCCCUUAAAAGAAAAUACAAAUUUUAGCCAGGCUUGGUGGCGCACGCCUGUAGUCCCAGCUACUUCAGAGACUGAGGCAGGAGAAUCGCUUGAACCCGGGAGGUAGAGGUUACAGUAAGCCGAGAUUGCGCCAGUGCACUCCAGCCUGGACAACACAGUAAGACUCCAUCUCAAAAUAAUAAUAAUAAAAAGAAAUUGGCCGGGCGCGGUGGCUCACGCCUGUAAUCCCAGCACUUUGGGAGGCCAAGGCGGGUGGAUCACCAGGUCAGGAGAUCGAGACCAACCUGGCUAACACGGUGAAACCCCGUCUCUACUAAAAAAGAGAAAAAAUUAACUAGGCAUGGUGGUGGGCACCUGUAGUCCCAGCCACUAGGGAGGCUGAGGCAGGAGAAUGGCGUGAACCUGGAAGG